rnacentral:misc_RNA from 1 species
UCAAACUUGGUCAUUUAGAGGAAGUAAAAGUCGUAACAAGGUUUCCGUAGGUGAACCUGCGGAAGGAUCAUUAGUGAACAAAUGGUGUGGGGGUUGUCGCUGGCCUCCUUGGAGGUAUGUGCACACCUACCACUGUUUCAUUCAUCCUCCCACCUGUGCACUCUCUGUAGGCCAAACCGUUGCAACCUCUCGGGUUCAGAUCUGAACUUGGUGUGAGGAGCAUGUCUUUCCUUUUACAGGAAAGCCUCUCCUUGUAUGCGGGGUGUGGUUCUACGUCUUUAUUAACUCCAUGUGUAUGUAACCGAAUGUCUGUUCUGGGCCUUGAAUUGGCCUAUAAAACCCUAUACAACUUUCAACAACGGAUCUCUUGGCUCUCGCAUCGAUGAAGAACGCAGC